UGUCUCCAGGGUUACCCACAGCCUUCCAGCAUGGCCGUGCUGCUGUGCCUGCUCGUCUGGCGGAAGGGGAACUUCCUCCUACCAGGCAGAUAACCAAACCUUGCUUCAUCUGAUAAACUCUCUUUCCCACAGCCUGAUCCUGCCAGAUAAGCAUGAGUUGCAUGCAUUGUCCCGGGGCCACUGCCAGCACAGGGCAGUGCCUCAGCCCUGCAUCACCUGGGGACACAUCCCUCCUCUGGGAGCAUCACCCUCCAGUCCCACAGUGGCUCAUCACUACAGCACAGUGACUGCUGUGUCACCUGCAUCCCCGGCACCACAGCCUUGCUCUGUGGCACCAAAAGGUUUAGGCCAGGAAGAUGCAUGUCACCUGAAAGCUGUCAGUUCCACCUUCUCAUGGUCACUGGUCACCAGCUCAGGGAUAAGGGAGAGGUGGGAGAUCUGCGUGGCCGCCCAGCCGAACUGGAAGAUGACGAUGAAGGGGAGGUAGUAGAUGAAGGCUGCCCACUGUGGAGUGCCCUCCUUGCAGCCCAGGCAGGGGUUGAAGAUGAAGGGGAAGGAGAUGAGGACGCAGGUGGUACCUGGGAAGAGAGAAGGGGAGCAGUGAGCUUCUCUAGGAACACACGGAUGCAGCUGCUCAGCCAGGUCCUGCCCUGGGGCUGGGGAGCAAAGUCAGCUCCUCCUGGAUGCAGAUAACCACCCAAGGACACACGCCACCCCACCGCCUGCCCCAGGGCGAUAAGGCGCCAGGACGGCUCUGCAGGCACAAGGCCACUCCGUGUCCCCUCAUCCCUCCUCCCGCAGGGCUGGAGCCAUGAGAGUGAUGUCCAGGAGUAUCUCCGGCACACAGAACAGGAAUGGAUCUGUCCCCACGCCAGCAUCAGACGCUACAGCUGUGCUGGGAAGGUCCCAGCUGAGUCAGUGACACCAGAGCCAGGUACUGUCCCCUCUGCAAGCAAUGGGGAUGCCGGCAUGGGGCAGGCAAGGACGAGCUGGCUUCUCCACAAAGUUGCUGAUCAAAUCCACCAAGAACUGAGGCUCAGGUGCAGCGCCUCGUCCUGCGUGUCCUUAGCUUCACCCUCCCUGCAGUCCUGCUGCUGCAGCCACCCCCACAGAGCCAGGCUCCUCCAGCACAGCCAUGUCCCCAUGCAGCACAGUCACAGAGCAGUGCUGGGGGCUCUGCUCCUCCCAGCAGGACCACCACAGCCCCUCAAGCUCCCGCUCCAGCCCUGAGCACCAGGAGUUCCCAUGGCACAGCUUCCGCAGAGUAUAUCACCACCAGCAGCCCCACUUGGCACUGCUGAGGGGAGAUGCUGCCGAUAGGAUCUCGUGGUAUCUCGCCCCCGAGGCUGUGGUUUCACAACGCUUCCUCUGACCUGAGUGUGGCUGCUGCUAGAAAGGAACACCUCACCGCAGUGUGACAGCCUGCCGGGAGCCCCCAGGGCUCAGCCCCCAGCCCUCGUGGUCCAUGCAGUGCUACAGCCCAGUGCAGGAUGUGAUUCAGGACUUCCCCUUCACUGCACCCAGAUGCCACGGAGCUGCCCACGCUGUCAGGGCUCACUGUGUUGGUCACUUCCCCAAAUCUGGGGCACAGAUCUCGCAGAUGCUGUGGCAGGGAGUGAGGCAGCCCCCUCUGCACGCUUUCCCUUGUUUCAGCGGGUCGCAGGCAGGCCAGCUGCCCUAUCAGCCUGCUGUUGGGUUGCACAGAGCGGUUACUGAGAUAAGUUUGGCAUCAAGAUAACAGCACCCACAGCACAACUGUCCUCAUCCUAUGCACAUACACGGCAAGAGAGUUCCAGCAGCACUGUGCCAUUACAGGAGGAAGCUCCGGGGUCCCUAUCUGUCCAGUGGGGGAUUUCUUCACCCUCAUCACCAGCUCAGCCUUGUGGGCUCCCAUGUGUGUCACAGCCCCCGUGCCCACACUGUCUCCUCCAGGUCCCAGGGCAGCAGGCAGCCCAAGCGCUCGUAUGUGUUUUCACCCCAAGGACAACGACGCAGGAUGAGCUCUGUGCCACGACUUCCUCCGCCCGUAGCGCCCGCAGCCAGCCGAGCGGUCAGCCUCGUAGCCGAGCAGCGGCGUGCACAGCCCGUCGGCCACCUGUCCGGCCAGCAGCAGCCCACCGGCCAGCCCGUGGCUGUAACCCAGCACGGCGUGCAGGUAGAGCAGCAGGUACGUGAACCAGAGCGACGCGCACAGAUCGUUCAGGAAAUGCCCGGCCGCAAAACUCAACCGCGCCCGCAGCGGCAGCGCUGCCCCCAGCGCGG
rnacentral:lncRNA from 1 species